GGGCAAAAGGCAACACAUCCAACUUGUGCUCUUUACUAGGCCUGUUCCUCUCCCUUAUCAUCGCCGCGGCCUCUGCCAACGUUAGGAUUUCGGGCGCCGGGGGCUGAAGGAGUGGGGCAGCUGGUAGAGGGUUACAGGCAUGGCCGAGGUGAAAUGGCAAUGGCGAGUUGCCUGAUGGCUCCUGGGAUUGGUCAGAUGGUUGUUUCUUGAUCAUCUUCAUCUCCUGCUCCCGAAUUGGGGCCUCAGCAGCAACAUAUGUAGAAGGAGAUAGAAACCUCUGCUCCAAGCGCUUGUGCUCCUUCUUCUUCUUCUUCCCUCGCUCCUCCUCAAAGGUAGGAUUUGGGGCAAAAGGCAACACAUCCAACUUGAGCUCUUUACUAGGCAUGUUCUUCUCCCUUAUCAUCCCCGCAGCCUCUGCCAACGUUAGGAUUUCGGGCGCCGGGGGCUGAAGGCGUGGGGCAGCUGGUAGAGGGUUACAGGCAUGGCCGAGGUGAAGUGGCAACGGCGAGUUGCCUGAUGGCUCCUGGGAUUGGUCGGAUGAUUGUUUCUUGAUCAUCUUCAUCUCCUGCUCCCGAAUUGGGGCCUCAGCAGCAACAGCUGUAGAAGGAGAUAGAAACCUCUGCUCCACACGCUUGUGCUUCUUCUUCUUCCCUCGCUCCUCCUCAAAGGUAGGAUUUGGGGCAAAAGGAAGCGCCUCCACCUUGUGCUCUUUACUAGGCCUGUUCAUCUCCCUUAUCAUCGCCGCCGCCUCUGUCAACGUUAGGAUUUCGGGCGCCGGGGGCUGAAGGAGUGGGGCAGCUGGUAGAGGGUUACAGGCAUGGCCGAGGUGAAGUGGCAAUGGCGAGUUGCCUGAUGGCUCCUGGGAUUGGUCGGAUGGUUGUUUCUUGAUAAUCUUCAUCUCCUGCUCCCGAAUUGGGGCCUCAGCAGCAACAGAUGUAGAAGGAGAUAGAAACCUCUGCUCCACACGCUUGUGCUCCUUCUUCUUCUUCUUCCCUCGCUCCUCCUCAAAG
rnacentral:lncRNA from 1 species